CCUACGGGAGGCAGCAGGGGGGAAUAUUGGACAAUGGGCGCAAGCCUGAUCCAGCCAUGCCGCGUGAGUGAUGAAGGCCCUAGGGUUGUAAAGCUCUUUCACCGGUGAAGAUAAUGACGGUACCCGUAGAAGAAGCCCCGGCUAACUUCGUGCCAGCAGCCGCGGUAAUACGAAGGGGGCUAGCGUUGUUCGGAAUUACUGGGCGUAAAGCGUACGUAGGCGGAUUAGAAAGCUUGGGGUGAAAUCCCAGGGCUCAACCCUGGAACUGCCUCCCAAACUCCUAAUCUAGAGUUCGAGAGAGGUGAGUGGAAUUCCGAGUGUAGAGGUGAAAUUCGUAGAUAUUCGGAGGAACACCAGUGGCGAAGGCGGCUYACUGGMYCRMWACUGACGCUGAGGURCGAAAGCGUGGGG
rnacentral:rRNA from 1 species